GACGAACGCUGGCGGCGUGCCUAAUACAUGCAAGUAGGACGCAGUUGCGAACGGGUGAGUAACGCGUAGGUAACUACCUAUUAGAGGGGGAUAACUAUUGGAAACGAUAGCUAAUACCGCAUACUAGUAGAUUGACCUGCGUUGUAUUAGCUAGUAGGUAGGGUAAUGGCCUACCUAGGCAACGAUACAUAGCCGAGCUUAGAGGCAGAUUGGCCAAACUGGGACUGAGAAACAGCCCAGACUCCUACGGGAGGAAGGAGUAGGGAAAUUUCGGCAAUGGGGGGAACCCUGAACGAGCAACGCCGCGUGAGUGAAGAAGGUUUUCUGAUCGUAAAGCUCUGUUGUUAAGGAAGCGGUACUUAACCAGAAAGGGACGGCUAACUACGUGCCAGCAGCCGCGGUAAUUC
rnacentral:rRNA from 1 species